rnacentral:rRNA from 1 species
GGCGUUCCCGUGGUAAAGAUGAGUUUUCAGGGAAGAAGGCGCUCCGUUCGAACAGGGGGAGGAGGUGACGGUACCUCAAGAGCAAGCCCCGGCUAANUACGUGCCAGCAGCCGCGGUAAAACGUAGGGGGCGAGCGUUGUCCGGAAUUACUGGGGGUAAAGGGCGCGCAGGCGGGCCCUCAAGUCUGAUGUGAAAAUCCGCGGGUCAACCCCGGGGGUGCAUAUGAAAAUGGGGGUCUUGAGUGCGGGAGAGGGGAGCGGAAUUCCCGGGGUAGCGGUGAAAAGCGUAGAGAUCUGGAGGAACACCCCUGGGGAAGGGGGCUCUCUGGUCAGCAACCGACGCUGAGGCGCGAAAGCGUGGGGAGCGAACACGAUUAGAUACCCCGGUAGUCCACGCCCUAAACGAGGA